GCCGGGUGUGGUGAUGCACGCCUGUAAUCCCAGCUACUCGGGAGGCUGAGGCAGGAGAAUCACUUGAACCCAGGAGGCAGAGGUUGCAGUGAGCCGAGAUCAUGCCACUGCACUCCAGCCUGGGUGACAGAGUGAGACUCCGUCUGAA
rnacentral:SRP_RNA from 1 species